rnacentral:lncRNA from 1 species
UCCACUUGAGUGACGAUCGGCUUCUCGGAGGAGCCUCCAUCUUCUCGCUUUUAGCGACCACCGGUGUUCUGGCGGCUCGUGUUCCUCGGUGCCGUGUGGUUCUGCGCGGGCGGGAAGCAUUUUCGCAGCAGGUUUGUUCGGCCUCUUGGCGGCAGCGGCAGGAACAACAGAUCCACGUACGUUACCAUCGAUGUUGUUCCCUCCUAUUUCACGGCUGUGGGCGUAGGCCGUAGCUAAAAUAAAAUGAUUAGCUUAUAAUAAGUUAAAAAUUAUUAUGUUUUUAACGUAUAUAUGUGUUAUUUUUUUAUUAAUAACAACUAAUCUCCCCGUCUUAAAUUAAAAUUCGUUUUAGUUAAGUAAUGGGUUCAUACGAUACAUGAUGUUUAUGUUUUAUAUAUGUGUGGUUCAUCUUCAUCCAUAUAAAUAUAGACAUAAAAACAAACAGCUAAAAUGACUACUAUUUUGAGACAGAGAAUAUUAUAUAUCGUAUAUAUACACGUAUAUUCUAUUUGUUGACAUUAUAGUUAUAGUUAUAUAUGUAUUAGCUCCUCGCCUAGCCACCCUCAACCCUGUUUUUUUUUGCAUUUUAGCUAUUUUUUGAAACAAAUUCAUAAUUAGCCCCCUGGCGGAAGUAAACCAGUUUUUGAACCUCUACUCGGCGCCAAGACCCGUGGCGUCGAGGUGAUGUCCACGCUGGCACGUGCGCAUUGCGCUGGCUAUUGAUGUGGCAGACCUCGGCGCCACAUAUCUUGGAACCGAGAUCUGUUAUAAGAACAAUCGUUGGUCUCUUCUCAAGCAUUUUCCUCCUCCGUCGUUGUUCUCUCUAUCCGCGCUCCCCGCCGCGCCCCGCAUGAACGUCGGCCCACCGCCACGCGCCAUUGACUCCGCCGAACGAUAUUGCCACCGCGCCCGCAACCCCGUUCAUCGUGAUCAUCGUCAGAAACUCGCCCCCGACAGCGCGCGUGAAGGUAUGUACAUGUUAGUUUAUGAUAUAGUUAGUUAGUUAGGUAGGUAGGUACUCACUCUGGUGUCCUAUUAAUUGUUGUUCAGGACAACGACACAGUCUCCAAAAUAUAGUUUUGACCAAUGUUUUUUUAAAAAAAAUACAAAUAAACUCUUAAUACAUUUAUACUUUUAUAAAAGUAAAUUUUAAGACAAAUCGGUGCAUAUAAAUAUUAGGUUUCAAAACUAAAUAACAAAAUAGUUAUUUAUAGUCAAAGUUUUAUAAGUUUGAUUCGAACCUUGUCUAAAACAACAAUCAAUAGGACACCAUAGAGAGUUUGUUAGUUAGUUUAGUUUAGUAUAUAGUUAGCAUGCAAAUUUGUUAGUCAGUUAGUUUAGUUAGCUACCAAGUUUGUUACUUACUUAGUUAGUUGGUAAUUUAGUUAGCAAUUUAGUUUGUUAGGUUACAUAUAUAGUUAUUAAUUUAGUUAGGUUACAUACAUGUCACAUUUUUGUUAGGAAUUUAGUUAGUAAACUUCGUAGUUAGUUUCUAAAGUUGUUGGUUAGCUUGUAAUUUUGUUAUUUAGUUUGUGCAGUGAGGUAGAUAGCUUUUUAGUUGUUAUUAUAUGUACUGAAUGUGCAUGUCAGCCAUCGUGCUAUUCGUCUGUUAGUGAAUGUGUAUGUCAGUCAUCAUGUUGUUCGCUUCUUUGCAGGUUUUAGAAACCUCCCCGUUUAGGGGAAGUGUCGUCGAAUUUUUUUACUGAGAUUACUAUGUUACUUUUUUGCAGCCAGGAGAUCCUUCGAUUCCACCGCCAACUGCAAAUUGACUCCACCGUGACCUCAAGUAUACCCCAUUUUCGUAUCGUACUCAUAGAUUACGUAACUCUGUUAGACGUGGUUAGUUAGUAGUUAGUAUUUAGUUAUUAGUUAGUAAUUAGCUAAUAAUUAAUUAUUACUUAGUACAUAGUGUUAGACAUUAGUAGAUCGAUAUUGAGUAAUGAAUCCGUCUAUGAAAUAGAUAGACAACCUAGUCACCCUGUAUCAUAGAGAAAGUGUGGAGGAAGAUUUUUA